UACGAAGGGGGCGAGCGUUGUUCGGAUUUACUGGGCGUAAAGGGCGCGCAGGCGGCGGAUCAAGUCAGAUGUGAAAGCCCCGGGCUUAACCUGGGAACUGCAUUUGGGACUGGUUUGCUAGAGAUCGGGAGAGGAGAGUGGAAUUCCCAGUGUAGAGGUGAAAUUCGUAGAUAUUGGGAAGAACACCGGUGGCGAAGGCGGCUCUCUGGACCGAUACUGACGCUGAGACGCGAAAGCGUGGGGAGCGAACAGG
rnacentral:rRNA from 1 species